rnacentral:rRNA from 1 species
CGGUUGAUCCUGCCGGACCCGACUGCUAUUUGGGUGAGACUAAGCCAUGCGAGUCGAAUGGGAUACCUAAAUUUCCCAUGGCAAACUGCUCAGUAACACAUGAUCAACUUACCCUAUGGAGAGAGAUAACCUCGGGAAACUGAGGAUAAUAUUUCAUAGUUGAAAAGGCUUGGAAAAGUUUUUCAAUGAAAGGGGUAAAGAAAAUGGUCUUUAUCUGCCAUAGGAUAGGAUUGUGGUCGAUUAUGGUAGUUGGUGAGGUAACGGCUCACCAAGCCGAUAAUCGAUAGGGGCCGUGAGAGCGGGAGCCCCGAGAUGGGUACUGAGACAACGACCCAGGCCUUACGAGGCGCAGCAGGCGCGAAACCUCCGCAAUACACGAAAGUGUGACGGGGUUACCCAAAGUGUCCAAUCUUGGACUGUGGUAGGUGAGUAAUGUCCCCUACUAGAAAGGAGAGGGCAAGGCUGGUGCCAGCCGCCGCGGUAAAACCAGCUCUUCAAGUGGUCGGGAUAAUUAUUGGGCUUAAAGAGUCCGUAGCCGGUUUAGUAAGUUCCUGGUAAAAUCAGGUAGCUUAACUAUCUGUAUGCUAGGAAUACUGCUAUACUAGAGGGCGGGAGAGGUCUGAGGUACUACAGGGGUAGGGGUGAAAU